rnacentral:tRNA from 1 species
GAAGAGAUGGCUCAGUGGUUAAGAGCACUGGCUGCUCUUCCAGAGGUCCUGAGUUCAAUUCCCAGUCACCACA